AACGUAGGCACCGAGCGUUAUCCGGAUUUACUGGGCGUAAAGCGCGUUCAGGCGGCUUGGCAAGUCGGGCAUGAAAUCUCUCGGCUCAACCGGGAGAGGUUGUCCGAUACUGCUAGGCUUGAGGGCAGUAGAGGGAGGUGGAAUUCCGGGUGUAGUGGUGAAAUGCGUAGAGAUCCGGAGGAACACCAGUGGCGAAGGCGGCCUCCUGGACUGCACCUGACGCUGUCACGCGAAAGCUAGGGGAGCGAACGGGAUUAGAAACCCCCGUAGUCC
rnacentral:rRNA from 1 species